UCUGUCGGUACUACCAGGAAGACACCGCUACUACGUGGCCAGCAGCCGCCGUAUACGUAGUUGGCAGCAGUCGUCCGGAGUAUUAGGCGUAUAGCGGCCGCAGCUGGCUUCUUAAGUACUGAUGUGAAAGCCCACGGCUCAUCCGUCGCGGGUCAUUGGAACUGUGGAACUCGAGUGCAGAAGAGGAGAAGUGGAGUUUUACGUGUAGCGCUGAAAUGCGUAGAUAUUUGGAGGAACACCAGUGUCGAAGGCGACUCUCUGGUCUGUAUCUGACACUGAGGCGCGAAAGAGUGGGGAGCAAAACACGAUUAGAUACCCCGGUAGUGCACGCCCUAUACGAUGAGUGCUAAGUGUGAGAGGGUUUCCGCCCCCUAGUGCUGCAGAUAACGCACUAUGCACUCUGCGCGGGGAGUACGCUCGCACGAGUGAAACUCAAAGGAAUUGACGGGGGCCCGCACACGCGGUGGAGCACGUGGUUUAAUUUGAAGCAACGCGAAGAACCUUACCAGGUCUCGACAUCCUCUGACAACCCUUGAGAUAGGGCUUUCCCCUUCGGGGGACAGAGUGACAGGUGGUGCAUGGUUGUCGUCAGCUCGUGUCGUGAGAUGUUGGGUUAAGUCCCGCAACGAGCGCAACCCUUGUUCUUAGUUGCCAGCAUUCAGUUGGGCACUCUAAGAUGACUGCCGGUGACAAACCGGAGGAAGGUGGGGAUGACGUCAAAUCAUCAUGCCCCUUAUGACCUGGGCUACACACGUGCUACAAUGGACGGUACAAAGGGCAGCGAGACCGCGAGGUUUAGCCAAUCCCAUAAAACCGUUCUCAGUUCGGAUUGCAGGCUGCAACUCGCCUGCAUGAAGCUGGAAUCGCUAGUAAUCGCGGAUCAGCAUGCCGCGGUGAAUACGUUCCCGGGCCUUGUACACACCGCCCGUCACACCACGAGAAGUUUGUAACACCCGAAGUCG
rnacentral:rRNA from 2 species